ensembl:lncRNA
CCCAGAGGUCGCCAAAGGAAGCUGCUAACACGUUUUUUGGGAGUCAUAAACAGGAUUGUGGGAUUCACAAUGGAAGAUAGAAUGUUUAUUGACAAGCUGAACGGACCGGAGAAUUGGGCAACGUGGAAAUUUCAACUGGAGCACCUGUUGAAGGCAAAGGACUGUGGGGUAUGGUACAAGAGACGGAGCAGCUAGCUGCGGAUGCUAAUGCCCAAGUACGAGCUGAAUUUGAACGGAAGAAGGAAAAGGCUUUUUCAGUGCUGGUACUGAAUUGGGAGCUGCUGCCAAGAAGGGAAACACAGUGAAGUUCAAAAGGACUCAUUGCUACAUAAGAGGAAAGAAUGGAGCUCUCCAUGGAAUGGGAACACAACGAUCUGACGGAUUGUAUCAGCUGGACAUCGAGGGAAACUGCACAACUUGUCAUGGAGCGUCAACUGCAUCAGUUCCAACAAAAUCAGCAGAGAGCAUGACGAACUUAAAGGACACUCUGAAGAAACACUACAAAAUGAAGGACAUGGGUGAGCUAUCGUACAUUCUGGGCAUCUC